CCUACGGGAGGCAGCAGUAGGGAAUAUUGCUCAAUGGGGGAAACCCUGAAGCAGCAACGCCGCGUGGAGGAUGAAGGUUUUCGGAUUGUAAACUCCUUUUGUUAGAGAAGAUAAUGACGGUAUCUAACGAAUAAGCACCGGCUAACUCCGUGCCAGCAGCCGCGGUAAUACGGAGGGUGCAAGCGUUACUCGGAAUCACUGGGCGGAAAGAGCGCGUAGGCGGGAUAGCAAGUCAGAUGUGAAAUCCUAUGGCUUAACCAUAGAACUGCAUUUGAAACUGGUAUUCUAGAGUAUGGGAGAGGUAAGUGGAAUUCUUGGUGUAGGGGUAAAAUCCGUAGAGAUCAAGAGGAAUACUCGUUGCGAAGGCGACCUGCUAGAACAUAACUGACGCUGAUGCGCGAAAGCGUGGGGAGCAAACAGGAUUAGAUACCCUAGUAGUC
rnacentral:rRNA from 1 species